ensembl:lncRNA
AUCCUACAAUCCAGAGACACCCAGACGAGAGGAUCUUUUUCAGUGCGGUUCCUUUCAACGUUUCUUCCUCAUGAGGUCUCAGGGAGUUUUUUCUUUGCCACUGUCUCCUCUGGCUUGGUCAUUAGGGAUCUAAAUACAAAUCUACAUUCAGAUUUCUGUAAAGAUGCUUCAUGACUACUACUAAACGCAUUAUGCGUUAUAAAUAAAACCGACUUUAAACAUUUCAGAACUGGAUCACUGAUAAUCUCAUCAUUAAAUAAGGUUAAAUCACAUGUCCUGAUGUGGUCAUAAAUCAGACCACACUAUUGGCAGAAAUAGCAUCCGGGUCCUGACCACUCAACUGACACUGUAGUUUCUUUGUAUUUAACCCUUGCACACUACACAUGGACUCUUCUUAAUUUAAUAAUAUUAUUAUAAUGUUGUUAUUUAAACCAUUGUAUUGCUACAACCUAGACGCUAGCACACGAUUCAGGACCAAUGUAUAUUUUCAGCUCCACCCUAAAUGCUGCUUGGAAACGUUAAACUGCAGGGGGGGAAAAUGCCUUCACAUUCCCUUCCUAAGUGCACUAUAUAGGGAACGAAAUAACGGUUCGCACCACACCCUAUGUAGUGCACUAUAAACCGUAUAAGGAGCCGUUUGCUAUGGAGCCAGUCAAUAGCAGCACUAACACACACACGCCUCUCGGUGCUAACAGGUUAGCUUACUGUGCACUGCAAUAAUCCGAGUUUAAUUCCUCACACACAUCGUCUCAUGGUAUAUAAAGAUAAAAUAAUCCCGUGUGUUGCACAUGGAGCCCCAACUGAAAUGUACCUGCUCGGCAGAAGGGCCAGACUGCUUCCCUCCACUGCUUUUACUCCCCGUGCCGCUAUUGCUGUUCGCCGCCAUGUUGAAAUGAAGCUCUGUAGCCCUGAGGACCUCUACAUCGCCUUCAGGGGGCUGUCCACUCUAAACGCCUGUUUAAAAUAAAAGACAUAUCCAUGGGCAAUAUUUGCAUAUUAUGUGUGCAAAAUAAUAUAUUUAUCGCACAGGGGGUGGGUAAAGUUUAUGCCGAAUAGAAUAAUGAAAAUCUGUUUUAAAAAAGUGAUAUGAUCAGACUCGUACUGUGAAGGUUUUAUGCUGUGAAGGUUUUAUACUGUUCGCCAGGGUCAAGUUCAGAUGGUAGUAGUUCAUUAAUGUGCUGGAGCAAGAAGCUCAAAGUACGACAAGGAACAGGAAGUUUCUGAAAACAUCCGGUUCACUAGGAGUCCAUGCUUUUCUCGCAGAGUCUGUGGAAGCAGGUGCUGCUUUCCCCAAAGUACCGUUUUCUCUGGAGGUUGGAGGCAGUGAGAAGUCAACACAGGAAGCAAGUGAACAGACAGUUCUCAAAGUUGAUGUGAUGGAAGCUGGAUAAAAUGGGCAAGUGUAAGGAUCCGAGCGACUUUGGCAAGGUUCAUGUGAUGGCUAGACGACUGGGUCAGAGCAUCUCCAAAACUGCUGGUCUUGUGGGGUGUCCUGCUAUGCAGUGGUUAGUACCUACCAAAAGUGGUCCAAUUAAGGACAACCGGGGACAGUUCCUUAAUGUCAUUGUCCUCUUUCAGCAGGAUAAUGCGCCCUGAUACACUGCAAAAAUUGUUCAGGAAUGGUUUGAGGAACACGACAAGAGUUCAAAAUGUUGACUUGGCCUCCAAAUUCCCCACAUCUCAAUCCGAUCGAUAAUCUGUGGGAUGUUCUGGUCGGACUAGUCCGAUCUACGGAGGCCGCAAUUUACAGGACUUAAAGGAACGUCUUGGUGCCAGAUACCACAGCACACCUGCAGAGAUCUUGUGGAGUC